rnacentral:rRNA from 1 species
GAUGAACGCUGGGCGGCGUGCUUAACACAUGCAUGUCGAACGAAGAGCGAUGGAAGCUUGCUUCUAUCAAUCUUAGUGGCGAACGGGUGAGUAAACGCGUAAUCAACCUGCCCUUCAGAGGGGGACAACAGUUGGAAACGGCUGCUAAUACCCGCAUACGAUCCAAUCUCGGCAUCGAGACUGGAUGAAAGGUGGCCUCUAUUUAUAAGCUAUCACUGAAGGAGGGGAUUGCGUCUGAUUAGCUAGUUGGAGGGGUAACGGCCCACCAAGGCGAUGAUCAGUAGCCGGUCUGAGAGGAUGAACGGCCACAUUGGGACUGAGACACGGCCCAGACUCCUACGGGAGGCAGCAGUAGGGAAUCUUCGGCAAUGGGGGCAACCCUGACCGAGCAACGCCGCGUGAGUGAAGAAGGUUUUCGGAUCGUAAAGCUCUGUUGUAAGAGAAGAACGAGUGUGAGAGUGGAAAGUUCACACUGUGACGGUAACUUACCAGAAAGGGACGGCUAACUACGUGCCAGCAGCCGCGGUAAUACGUAGGUCCCGAGCGUUAUCCGGAUUUAUUGGGCGUAAAGCGAGCGCAGGCGGUUAGAUAAGUCUGAAGUUAAAGGCUGUGGCUUAACCAUAGUACGCUUUGGAAACUGUUUAACUUGAGUGCAGAAGGGGAGAGUGGAAUUCCAUGUGUAGCGGUGAAAUGCGUAGAUAUAUGGAGGAACACCGGUGGCGAAAGCGGCUCUCUGGCUUGUAACUGACGCUGAGGCUCGAAAGCGUGGGGAGCAAACAGG